UUGGACACCCGAUCGGUCCGCGCGUGUGGCGGCGCGUGGGCCAGGGUGGAGGCACGGCUCUGGCCAGUUUUGAGACCCUCGUGCCAUCACGAGCGCGCAGGAUUUCGCGGAUCUCAAUUCGGAGUCCGUUUGUGCCCCGAACGGAUUUUCCAUAAUAUGCGAUUCCCGGUUGCAGCGUCGUCUAGCCGUUGGAUCGCACCCCAUUUCGGAUAUGUUGUUCUACAUUGUUUCAGGAUAGCGUAGGAUUCGACGGAUUGCAAAUCAGAGUCCCGGAUACUCCGGAAUCGCGAACCCUGGGGCUAGGGUUAGGGUUUUAAUAGAUAGCGCGAAUUUGGCCAAUCCGACCGUCCAUUUCGGACCAAACUCGCAGGACAUGGGUUUUACACAGUGAGGAACCUCUAGAGAAUCCCAGAUCGGCCAUCGGAGAUCGUGGACCCCACGGGGUUCCGGAUCGGCCGGUCUAACAGUUUAUCUCUUUGUAAGGUUUCCGGUCUUUUAAGGCCAUUCUGGACAUAGAGUUGACUUUACAAUGAGAGCACGUAUUUCUAGGAGCCGGAGGUCAGGGUAUUUAAUUUAAUGUUUUUAUUGAGCAGUUUAGUAAUUGAAUAUUCAUGGUUAAACAGGCAUCAGAGGCCAAACUGAACCACAGGAGGGACCUUCAAGAGGUCCAGCUAGCUCGGACCAGCAGCAGUCGAGUGUGCAGGAAUCCACCACCAGGCCUUCUCCUAGCUCCCACGCUAUUUCCAAGCUGUAGGAUUUCUUGUAACCUACUUAAAUUCUUGUAAACAAUUAGUAACUGCUCUGAUAUCUGGUUGGAUUAGAUAACCAGAACUGGUGAAUAUUUAGUUACCCUAUUCUGGCAGUUGGUGUGGAUUUAUCAGUUUGUUUGACAGGUGGAAAA